rnacentral:misc_RNA from 1 species
AACGCACGAGACCUGCGGACCUGCGGAGGGAUCAUUACCGAGUUAUCCAACUCCCAACCCCUGUGAAUUAUACCUUUAAUUGUUGCUUCGGCGGGACUUCGCGCCCGCCGGGGACCCAAACCUUCUGAAUUUUUUAAUAAGUAUCUUCUGAGUGGUUAAAAAAUGAAUCAAAACUUUCAGCAACGGAUCUCU